rnacentral:rRNA from 1 species
GGGAAAAGCCCAAAUUUGUAAUCUGGCUUUCUUUUGAAGGUCUGAGUUGUAAUUUUAAGAACUGUUUUCAGUGCUGGACCACACACAAGUUUGUUGGAAAACAAUAUCAUUGAGGGUGAUAAUCCCGUUCAUGGUGUGGACUACCAGUGCAAUAUGAUACAGUCUCUAAGAGUCGAGUUGUUUGGGAAUGCAGCUCAAAGUGGGUGGUAAAUUCCAUCUAAGGCUAAAUAUUGAUGAGAGACCGAUAGCAAACAAGUACCGUGAGGGAAAGAUGAAAAGAACUUUGGAAAGAGAGUUAACAGUAUGUGAAAUUGUUAGAAGGGAAACACUUGAAGUUAGACAUGCUAUAGCCAGUUCAAACCCUUUUUUCUAAGGGAGUAUUCUGGUAUCUUUAGCAGAUCAACAUCAAUUCUGUUUGGUGCUGGAUAAGGGUUGUGGAAAUGUGGCAGUCUUUGGCUGUGUUUAUAGUCCAUGACUUUGAUAUGGUGCCUGGGAUUGAGGUAUGCAGUAAGCCUUUUAUUUUUGAGAGGUGGGUCUAUAUUAUAGAUCUUCUUGCUGAGGAUGUUGAUGUAAUAGCUUUAAAUGACCCGUCUUGAAACACGGACCAAGGAGUCUAACAUGCUUGCAAGUAUUUGGGUGAUUGAAACCCUUUUGCGUAAUGAAAGUAAAUGUAAAUGGGAUCUGUCAAAGGAGCACCAUUGACCAGUCCUAAUUAUUUAUAUGUUGGUACUGAGUAAGAGCAAGUAUGUUGGGACCCGAAAGAUGGUGAACUAUGCCUGAAUAGGGUGAAGCCAGAGGAAACUCUGGUGG